rnacentral:lncRNA from 1 species
GGUUCUUGAUAACUUGUAAAUCAUUGAAAACUGGAUUUCUGUGCCUGCUCCAAAAGUGCUUUCCUCUAAUUUCAUAUAUUUAGAAGCUCUGUUGUAAUUUGGACAAGUCUUGAUUUCACAUGAAAGUCAGGAUUCUUAUCUGCAAAAUGGUGCAUCAAUAGAAUCAUUUUUUUUUCAUUUGCGAAAUGUGUUGGAGAUUCAAAACAACCACUCUAGUAUCUCCUCCAAGAAAGAUCCAAAUGGGAUUACAAAGAGUCACUCAGGUCUGAAGUGACUGAACAACAAUCACUAGAAUGUUUUCUCAGUAUGUAUAUUCUGUGCCUCCCCCAGUAGUUUAGAAAUUCCUCAAAGGCAGAAUCCAUGCAUUGUAUUUCUCUUAGGUCCCCUGCAAUUCUACAGCAUUAGGAUUUUUCUCUCCUCUCAGAAACCUGGGGAAAGAAUGCAAUUCUGAAUGUUUCUCAUUGACUUGAAUAAUGGAUACCAUCACCAGUGUUUUCAAAGAAUGUUGGGAAUAUAAGAUAAAUUCACUAUUCUGAUCCUAGGUAAAGAGUAGCAAGAGUAUGCAGCAGGAAAAACUUAGAACACUUAUGGGCAUGCCAAGGCUAUCUUGUCUUCUCAUUCAAAAGUAGAUUUAGAGUGUGAAUUUUUCUUUUAUAAAUAAUCCUUCUAAUUUUGUUUUCCAGAAUGACAAAUCUCCAGGGCGUUCUGCAAGUCGGUCAAGUAACAUAUCUAAGGCUAUCCAGCACAAUGUCAGAAUGAAAGAAGAAAUAACUAUCGAGUGUAAAGUCCUCCAAGUGCCUCUUUUUGCAUGUGACAUUGUGCUAAUCACAUCAAGGUCUUAAAGACUGAAGGAAGGUCUCCUAAAAGAGACUGAUUAUCAUUCACCAGGGGUUGACUUAACUAGCCAUGGAAGAAAAACCUCAUCAGUGAGACCUCAUAUCUGGUGAAGUCGGAUGGUUUUA